GUUUAUUCUCCAGUCCCUCUCACAAAUCGUACUUUAAACACCCGUGAUCUGCGAAUAAACAAAGGCAGUAAACAAUGGAGUGGAGGCUAUGCCCACAAUAUAGGAAGUACAUGCACAACCAAAUUGCAGGAGUGUAAACUUUGAAGAGGACGUCACCGCUCAGUAAAUGUACACAGACAUUCAAUUUCGUUCUCUUCAUUUUAGACAUAAUGCGUAACUGAUUAUUUUUUUAGCACACUGAUCGAUAUCUCGGUAAAAUAAUCUUCUUUUUUUUUAACUAGCGGGGCAGUGAAAUCUUUGCUUUGUGCUAAAGUCAACAGUGACAGAGUUUGAGCUCAAAUAAAUGCCGUGAUGUCUCCAGCCCUUUGCAGAAGGCUGAAGGCGAGGUUCCACAUUGGGCUCCUAGCUUGCCAGUAAGCAUCCACCGUAUUUCACAGGGCUCUGCUUGGGAGGGCUCCAUGGCUGUGCCGUCAGAGAGGUUCCUUCAGAGAGAAGAGGAAUAGGAAGGAGAGGAGGCCAUAACGAGAAGAGGAGAGGUUAGGACAGGAGAAGCAGAUGGAUCUGCCACCACACAUAAUGUCCCUUCUGUCGUGGGCUGUGCUGUGACCGCCCCAUGGCAGCGGCCAGAUGGAGGUGGAAUGGGACCAAUGGGAUCAAUGCGGUGCUGCCUACAAUCUUCUCCCUGCAUCACCUCAGAUCCACAGACACAGAACCACAAAGGCAGUUUCCUCUCUGAGUGCUUGUCUACCUGGCUACGUCUGCGUCUGACCUGUCUGGAUCUAUGAAAUAUCAAAGCUUGUGUCAGGACGCGUGAAUAGGGAGAGAGAGGCACCAUUAAUGAUUAACUGUUCUAAAAGCCUAUCAGGCAGCCAUGUGACAUGCUCGCAGCAUGUUUUGAGCAGAUUGGGGGAAGCUAGUGAGCAAACACAGGUGCUUUGGACUGGAGUCGCCGACGCUGUCAGGGACAACCACAAACAAGAGCAGCACUGCCUAGCUAAAUGAGAGCCCACCCACUUUACUUACUCCCUGACUAGCUUAGCUUAGUCACUGACUGCAGUGGCUGGAGAGCCUCACCAGAGACCAAGUCCAAUGUCCCCCCAGUGUUCCACAACCUUUCACACAAACAAACAAAUAAAACGCGAGGAUUGGAGUCGCUGUGGUCUCAAGCAUAGGGGAAAGCAAACAAAUGAAUUGUGUUCCAGUUCUCACUUUCUAAAACAAACCAAAUGUGGGUUGAACACUUGUUCUUGAGAAGCCUAGUGGAGGCGAUGAGAGAUAUUCAGAAAUAUGCAGGAUGACAAACUGAUUGUCAGGAAAUGAAGUGGUUGAUUUGAUUGUUUCAUUAAUGUUUCAUGACAGGUGGAUGACGAAUAGAUCAUAAAGACACAAAAGCCUAUUUUCUGUCAACAAAGUAGACUAUUUUGUUGUCCUGAUUUUAUUUCGAUUUUUCUGGAGUUGUUUUCAAGGUUUUAUAAACACGGUCUAGGUCCAGGCACUUAACCAUUUUCUCCUCAACAACGUCUGUCCCUUUGUAAAACGACUGAGAGCGUUCUGUAGCACAACUUUGAUAACACAAUCAGAUGAUAUGAUGGCGUUAACUGAACACGGCUUUCCGGCAGCGAGAUAAAUGAACAGCACGAUAACGUUAACAAAAGCCUAGCUCUGAUUGGUAGGUCUAUGAUUGGAAAACAGGCAGCACGGAAAGUCUACACAAUAAGGGCAAUUCAUUAGAUUUGUUAUUUUCUACAUGACCUGGGUCAGACGGACACCUUUUGUAUCAGUCAAAUAUUUAUUUGUGUGUUUUACAGGUCUUUCGUUUCAUACCCAGCAAUUACAGUGAGCCUGUAAAGCAGACAUGAUAAAAGUGUUUUAAAACAAACACUCCAAAUCAACAGGAGAGGAAAUUAAGUUGUAAAGGCAGAGCGAGACAGAGAGAGAGAAGCUGAGACAGAACAAGAGGGAGAAAAAGACAUAGAGAGAGAAGCUGAGAGAGAACGAGCGGGAGAGAGAGACAGAGAGAGAGAAGCAGAGAGAGAACAAGGGGGGAGGGGGUAGAAACAGGGAAUGGACUCAGGGGGUAUGCUAAUUUGGUAUAGAGCAGACCUAACUCACUCUAUUAAAUUAAUCAAAACAGGAACAUUUUACAUUUGUCUAGAACUUCAAAAGGAAAUUAUCUUCACAGAGAAAAAUGUCCUCCAGUGUGCUACCUAUAUCCCCCACUAGAAUCCCCAUACUUUAAUGAAGACAGCUUCUCCAACCUGUAGGGGGAAAUCAAUCAUUUCCAGGCCCAGGGACAUGUACUAGUCUGUGACGACCUAAAUGCCAGAACUGGACAAGAACCUGACACCCUCAGCACACAGGGGGACAAACACCUACCUGGAUGAGACAGCAUUCCCUCCUUUCCCUACCCGCUGGGUAUGUACAUAGUCAAUGGUAGGCUUCGAGGGGACUCCUAAGGUAGGAACACCUAUAGCUCAUCUCUUGGCAGUAGUACUGUAGACUACUUUAUCACUGACAUCAACCCAGUGUCACUCAGAGCGUUCACAGUCAGCCCACUGACACCCCUAUCAGAUCACAGCAAAAUCACAGUCUACUUGAACAGAGCACUACUCUAUCAUGAGGAAUCAGCCAAAGGAACUGAAUAAUAUUAAGAAAUGCUAUAGAUGGAAGGAAAGUAGUGUGGAAACCUACCAAAAAACUAUUAGGCAACAACAAAUUCAAUCCUUUUUAGACAACUUCCUGGACAAAACGUUUCAUUGUAAUAGUGAAGGUGUAAACUUGGCAGUAGAAAACCUAAACAGUAUAUUUUACCUCUUAGCUUCCCUAUCAAAUCUAAAAAUGUCAAACAGAAAACCCGAAGAAAAUUAACAACAAUGACAAAUGGUUUGAUGAAGAAUGCAAAAACUUAAGAAAGAAAUCAAGAAACCUAUCGAACCAAAAACAUAGAGACCCAGAAAACCUAAGCCUAUGCCUUCACUAUGGUGAAUCACAAAAAUAAUACAGAAAUACACUACGGAUAAAAGAAGGAACAGCACGUCAGAAAUCAGCUCAAUGUAAUCCAUAGACUCUAACCACUUCUGGGAAAAUUGGAAAACACUAAACAAACAGCACAGGAAAAAAAAAAAAAAAAAAUGUAUGAAAUUGUAUGAAAUGUAUGCAUUCACUACUGUAAGUCGCUCUGGAUAAGAGCGUCUGCUAAAUGACUAAAAUGUAAAAUGUAACAACAUGAAGAGUUAUCUAUUCAAAAUGGAGAUGUAUGGGUAAACCACUUCUCCAGUCUUUUUGGCUCUAUAACAAAGAACAAACAGCAAAAACAUAUACAUGAUCAAAUACAAAUCUUAGAAUCAACUAUUAAAGACUACCAGAACCCACUGGAUUCUCCAACUACAUUGAAUGAACUACAGGACAAAAUACAAACCCUCCAACCCCAAAAGGCCAGUGGUGUUGAUUGUAUCCUCAAUGAAAUGAUAAAAUAUGCAUACCACAAAUUCCAAUUGGCUAUACUUAAACUUUUUAACAUCAUCAUUAGCUCUGGCAUCUUCCCCAAUAUUUGGAACCACAAAAGUGGAGAUAAAUUUGACCCCAAUAACUAUCAUGGGAUAUGAAUCAACAGCAACCUUGGGAAAAUCCUAAGCAUUAUCCUUAACAUCAGACUCGUAUAUUUCCUCAGUGAAAACAAUGUACUGAGCAAAUGCCAAAUUGGCUUUUCACCAAAUUACCGUAUGAUAAAAAACACAUAUUCACACUGCACACCCUAAUUGACAAACAAACAAACCAAAACUAAGGCAAAGUCUUCUCAUGCUUUGUUGAUUUCAAAAAGGCUUUCGACUCCAUUUGGCAUGAGGGUCUGCUAUGCAAAUUGAUGAAAAGUGGUGUUGGGGGAAAAACAUACGACAAUAUAAAAUCCAUGUACACAAACAACAAGUGUGCGGUCAAAAAACUAAUUUCUUUCCACAGAGCUGUGGGGUGAGACAGGGAUGCAGCUUAAGCCCCACCCUCUUCAACAUAUAUAUCAACGAAUUGGCGAGGGCACUAGAACAGUGUGCAGCACCAGCCUCACCCUACUAGAAUCUGAAGUCAAAUGUCUACUGUUUUCUGAUAAUCUGGUGAUUCUGUCCCCAACCAAAGAGGGCCUACAACAGCACCUAGAUCUUCUGCACAGAUUCUGUCAGACCUGGGCCCUGAUAGUAAAUCUCAGUAAGACAAAAAUAAUGUUGUUCCAAAAACAAUCCAGUUGCCUGGACCACAAAGACAAAUUCCAUCUAGACACUGUUGCCCUAAAGCGGUGGUUCCCAAACUUUUUAUAGUCCCGUACCCCUUCAAACAUUGAACCUCCAGCUGCAUAACCCCUCUAGCACCAGGUUCAGAGCACUCUCAAAUGUUGUUUUUGACAUCAUUGUAAGCCUGCCACACACACACUAUACGAUACAUUUAUUAAACAUAAGAAUGAGUGUGAGUUUUUGUCACAACCUGGCUCGUGGGAAGUGACAAAGAGCACUUACAGGACCAGGGCACAAAUAAUAAUAUAAUAAUAAUCAAUAAUGAUGCUCUUUAUUUGACCAUCUUACAUAUAAAACCUUAUUUGUUCAUCAAAAAUGGUGAAUAACUCACCACAGGUUAAUGAGAAGAGUGUGCCUGAAAGGAUGCACAUAACUCUGCAAUGUUGGGUUGUAUUGGAGAGAGUCUCAGUCUUAAAUAAUUUUCCACACACAGUCUGUGCCUGUAUUUAGUUUUCAUGCUAGCGAGGGCCGAGAAUCCACUCUCACAUAGGUAUGUGGUUGCAAAAGGCAUCAGUGUCUUAACAGCAUGAUUUGUCAAGACAGGAUACUCUGAGCGCAGCCCAUUCCAGAACUCUGGCAAUGGCUUCUGAUUACAUUUUCACAGAACCGCUUGUUGCAAUUUCGAUGAAGCUCUCUUGUUCAGAUAUCGGUAAGUGGACUGGAGGCAGGGCAUGAAAGGGAUAACGAAUCCAGUUGUUUGUGUCAUCCGUUUCGGGAAAGUACCUGCGGAAUAGCGAAUCCAACUCCCUAAGGUGCUUUGCUAUAUCACAUUUGACAUUGACCGUAAGCUUGAGUUCAUUUGCUCACAAAAAAUAAUACAAUGAUGGAAAGACCUGUGUGUUGUCCUUGUUAAUGCAGACAGAGAAGAGCUCCAACUUUUUAAUCAUAGCCUCAAUUUUGUCCCGCACAUUGAAUAUAGUUGCAGAGAGUCCCUGAAAUCCUAGAUUCAGAUCAUUCAGGUGAGAAAAAACAUCACCCAGAUCGGCCAGUCGUGUGAGAAACUCGUCAUCAUGCAAACAGUCAGACAAGUGAAAAUGAUGGUCAGUAAAGAAAACUUUAAGCUCAUCUCUCAAUUCAAAAAAACGUGUCAAUACUUUGCCUCUUGAUAACCAGCACACUUCUGUAUGUUGUAUAAGCUUUACAUGGCCGCUGCCCAUAUCAUUGCAAAGUGCAGAAAAUAUACGAUAGUUCAGGGGCCUUGCUUUAACAAAGUUAACCAUUUUCACUGUAGUGUCCAAAAUGUAUUUCAAGCUGUCAGGCAUUCCCUUGGCAGCAAGAGCCUCUCAGUGGAUGCUGCAGUGUACCCAAGUGGCAUCGGGAGCAACUGCUUGCACGCGCGUUACCACUCCACUAUGUCUCCCUGUCAUGGCUUUUGCGCCAUCUGUACAGAUGCCAACAUGAGCAGCAGCUACGUUUGGCUACAUACGGACCGUUAGUGGCAUUCCCGCGAGACAGUAACGGUUAAUGUGAUUGGAUGUUAAUUAUUUGACUAGGCUACCUGUAUUUGACAUUGUGUUGUUAUUUCGCUGAACACUAGAUGGUUGAAUUGUAUUUUUGGCAGUGAAACGAGGCUACUCAGGCAAGAAAAAAACCUCACCCAAAUGUAUAGCCCCGUUGGAAAAUAUAAAUGGACUGUUUCAAAAUGUUAAGAAAUAAAUAUAUAAAAAAAUGUAAAAAGUGAAUCACAUUUUUAUUUGGCGUACCCCUGAUGGCAUUGCGCGUACCCCUGGGGAAUACCUGCUGUAGAGCACACAAAAAAACUAUACAUAUCUCGGCCUAAACAUACCCUCCCUGGCGCUCGAGGGCACCAGGCUACCCUUCUUUACACGCACCUGUCACUAUCAUUACGCGCAGCAGCGCUCAUUGGACUCACCUGGACUCCUUCACGUUGUUGAUUACCCCCUGUAUAUCUGUCUGUUCCUCUGUGGUGUUCCCUGUGUCCCCAUUAAUUGUUGUUAUGUGUUCCUGUCCAGACGCUGUUCCUGUUCCGUUUCAUGUCCGUCAGCUAUUAAACCUUCACUCCCUGUACCUGCUUCUCAUCUCCUGCGUCGUUCCUUACACGCCACAGCUGUUGUAAGGUAGGCUCAUACAGGUAGCAGCUGGGCUGGCUCACCUGUCGUAUAAAUGAACAUGGCCAAUCCCUUCCAUCAGCAGCAGAGAGGCAGGAGAAGACUGGACUAAAGCACCCAGAGACAUAAACAAAAGGACUGCAUGGGAGGGGCAGAGAAGGAUUCAGGAGCAGGGGAAGAAAAAGGCUCAGAGAGGAGAAAGGUUCACAGUAGAUUUGUUUUAGGAACAACAUUGAAUCAGGCAUUUUUCAGUCAUGCUUUAUAAUCUGGCAUAUCAUCACCUUUUUUGGGGGGAAAGUGUUCCCAAUUGCUAAAGGUUGAAUUAAAAAACAGUCACAUCAUCUCAUCCCGACAACAAUGAAAAAUGUGAAAACUGAUUAAAAAGGAAAACUGAUUAUAAAGAAA
rnacentral:lncRNA from 1 species